rnacentral:lncRNA from 1 species
CUGCAGUGCAUAAAUUUGAGAUAUUAAAAAUCAUCAAGCAUCAUAUAUUUUCAAAGGUGCCAUCUAGUAAACAUUUAGAAAAUGAAACUGUCGUGCAUUGAUUUAUGAACAGCUGUUGGUGACAUAAUAUGACAUAAUAAUUCAAAAUCUGAGCAUACAUAUAAGAGAUAUCUAAUGUGAAACUUCUAUAAUAUGUUCUAUUCAGACAUCCCCAAUCAAGCCAUGUGAUUUAUAAACUGUAAAGUAAAGUAAAAUUU